AGCGAACGCUGGCGGCAGGCCUAACACAUGCAAGUCGAACGAACCUUUCGGGGUUAGUGGCGGACGGGUGAGUAACACGUGGGAACGUGCCUUUAGGUUCGGAAUAACUCAGGGAAACUUGUGCUAAUACCGAAUGUGCCCUUCGGGGGAAAGAUUAAUCGCCUUUAGAGCGGCCCGCGUCUGAUUAGCUAGUUGGUUGAGGUAAUGGCUCACCAAGGCGACGAUCAGUAGCUGGUCUGAGAGGAUGAUCAGCCACAUUGGGACUGAGACACGGCCCAAACUCCUACGGGAGGCAGCAGUGGGGAAUCUUGCGCAAUGGGCGAAAGCCUGACGCAGCCAUGCCGCGGGAAUGAUGAAGGUCUUAGGAUUGUAAAAUUCUUUCACCGGGGACGAUAAUGACGGUACCCGGAGAAGAAGCCCCGGCUAACUUCGU
rnacentral:rRNA from 1 species